AUUGAACGCUGGCGGCAGGCCUAACACAUGCAAGUCGAACGGUAACAGGAAACAGCUUGCUGUUUCGCUGACGAGUGGCGGACGGGCGAGUAAUGUCUGGGAAACUGCCUGAUGGAGGGGGAUAACUACUGGAAACGGUAGCUAAUACCGCAUAACGUCGCAAGACCAAAGAGGGGGACCCUCGGGCCUCUUGCCAUCGGAUGUACCCAGAUGGGAUUAGCUUGUUGGUGGGGUAACGGCUCACCAAGGCGACGAUCCCUAGCUGGUCUGAGAGGAUGACCAGCCACACUGGAACUGAGACACGGUCCAGACUCCUACGGGAGGCAGCAGUGGGGAAUAUUGCACAAUGGGCGCAAGCCUGAUGCAGCCAUGCCGCGUGUAUGAAGAAGGCCUUCGGGUUGUAAAGUACUUUCAGCGGGGAGGAAGGGAGUAAAGUUAAUACCUUUGCUCAUUGACGUUACCCGCAGAAGAAGCACCGGCUAACUCCGUG
rnacentral:rRNA from 1 species